AAAAUACUUAAUCCAUCCUUCAAUUUUAUAAAUAAUUUUUAAAAUAAAAAUUAUUAAUUUUAUUUACAUUUUCAUUAUCUUCUACCUCUACCUAUCUUCUACCUCCUCCAUCCCGCACCACCAGCUGCGCCACCUCUACCCGCCGCCAUGAAGCCCCCACUCUUCAUCUGGGUUACACCAGAUGGAAGAGGAACUUCGUCUGGUUCAAACCCAGACGAAGCUUUCGUCUGGGUUUGAACCAGACGAAGAUCUCCAUCUCUAUUUACAGCCAAAACCCAUCCCUUAAAUCACUUGUAAUGGCUUCUCUUUCAAUCACCUCUUUAUCUCAUCCACCAUUUUAAACCCAUCAUCACAAACUAGACACAAACUUAAAAUCACUAAAAUUAACUCCUAGAUUCAACUUACAUCUAUUAAAUUGUUUCCCUUUUUCCAUAAAGCUUCAGACUUUAGCUUCUUAGAACCUUCAAAAUGCCACAAUCAAACCCAACAACCGCCCCUAGAGCUACCCUCGGUACCUGGACGGAAUAAAGAUUCGAAUUUUUCAACUGUGUGCUUGAAAAAAAUCUGAUGACAGUGUAAUUUGAUGCAUUACAAGGUGGGUUACUGCGUUUUGGUUCCAUUGAAUCGAAGACAAAAACAGAUUGGUGGGUGUUUUUAUUUAUGAUUAAAAAAUCCAAUUCUUCUUA